UACGUAGGGGGCUAGCGUUGUCCGGAAUCAUUGGGCGUAAAGCGCGUGUAGGCGGUCCGGUAGGUCCGCUGUGAAAGUCGGGGGCUCAACCCUCGGAUGCCGGUGGAUACUGUCGGGCUUGAGUACGGAAGAGGCGAGUGGAAUUCCUGGUGUAGCGGUGAAAUGCGCAGAUAUCAGGAGGAACACCAAUUGCGAAGGCAGCUCGCUGGGACGUUACUGACGCUGAGACGCGAAAGCGUGGGGAGCAAACAGG
rnacentral:rRNA from 1 species